UACGAGAGGUGCUAGCGUUAUUCGGAAUUAUUGGGCGUAAAGGGUGCGUAGGCGGUUUGUUAAGUUUGUUGUUAAAGACCUUGGCUUAACUGAAGAAAAGCAAUAAAUACUGGCAGACUAGAGGGUGAAAGAGAGAAGUGGAAUUCCCGGAGUAGCGGUAAAAUGCGUAGAUCUCGGGAGGAACACCAAUGGCGAAGGCUGCUUCUUGGUUCACUACUGACGCUGAGGCACGAAAGCGUGGGGAGCAAACAGG
rnacentral:rRNA from 1 species